GAUGAACGCUGGCGGCGUGCCUAAUACAUGCAAGUCGAGCGAACAGACGAGGAGCUUGCUCCUCUGACGUUAGCGGCGGACGGGUGAGUAACACGUGGAUAACCUACCUAUAAGACUGGGAUAACUUCGGGAAACCGGAGCUAAUACCGGAUAAUAUAUUGAACCGCAUGGUUCAAUAGUGAAAGACGGUUUUGCUGUCACUUAUAGAUGGAUCCGCGCCGCAUUAGCUAGUUGGUAAGGUAACGGCUUACCAAGGCAACGAUGCGUAGCCGACCUGAGAGGGUGAUCGGCCACACUGGAACUGAGACACGGUCCAGACUCCUACGGGAGGCAGCAGUAGGGAAUCUUCCGCAAUGGGCGAAAGCUUGACGGAGCAACGCCGCGUGAGUGAUGAAGGUCUUCGGAUCGUAAAACUCUGUUAUUAGGGAAGAACAAAUGUGUAAGUAACUAUGCACGUCUUGACGGUAUCUAAUCAGAAAGCCACGGCUAACUACG
rnacentral:rRNA from 1 species